rnacentral:rRNA from 1 species
GAUGAACGCUGACAGAAUGCUUAACACAUGCAAGUCUACUUGAACUUCGGUUUGGGUGGCGGACGGGUGAGUAACGCGUAAAGAACUUGCCUCACAGUUAGGGACAACAUUUGGAAACGAAUGCUAAUACCUGAUAUUAUGAUUUUAGGGCAUCCUAAGAUUAUGACAGCGAUAUGCGCUGUGAGAGAGCUUGGCGUCCCAUUAGCUAGUUGGUGAGGUAACGGCGCACCAAGGCGAUGAUGGGUAGCCGGCCUUAGGGGGUGAACGGCCACAAGGGGACUGAGACACGGCCCUUACUCCUACGGGAGGCAGCAGUGGGGAAUAUUGGACAAUGGACCAAAAUUCUGAUCCAGCAAUUCUGUGUGCACGAUUACGUUUUUCGGAAUGUAAAGUGCUUUCAGUUGGGAAGAAAAAAAUGACGGUACCAACAGAAGAAGUGACGGCUAAAUACGUGCCAGCAGCCGCAGUAACAC